ACACCAGACUCCUACGGGAGGCAGCAGUGGGGAAUAUUGCACAAUGGGGGAAACCCUGAUGCAGCGACGCCGCGUGAGUGAAGAAGUAUUUCGGUAUGUAAAGCUCUAUCAGCAGGGAAGAAAAUGACGGUACCUGACUAAGAAGCCCCGGCUAACUACGUGCCAGCAGCCGCGGUAAUACGUAGGGGGCAAGCGUUAUCCGGAUUUACUGGGUGUAAAGGGAGCGUAGGCGGCAAGGUAAGUCAGGUGUGAAAACUCCGGGCUCAACCUGGAGACUGCACUUGAAACUGGGUGUCUUGAGGGCAGGAGAGGAAAGUGGAAUUCCUAGUGUAGCGGUGAAAUGCGUAGAUAUUAGGAGGAACACCAGUGGCGAAGGCGACUUUCUGGACUGUACCUGACGCUGAGGCGCGAAAGCGUGGGUAGCGAACGGGAUUAGAUACCCGGGUAA
rnacentral:rRNA from 1 species